CUUUUAAUCUAAGUACAUAGUGUGUUGUGUUGUGAGAUAACGAUUGUUGCUAGCGAAGUUUGCCAAGGAGGCGAAACGUUCGCGGAAAAUUAUAAUUACACGAAUCGACAGCCUGUGUUGUAAACUGUCGAGUCGUGAACUUUAUAGUUACAUCGCUCACACACACACACGCACGCGCAUUGAUCUGAAUUGUUAUUUAUCGGCAAAGGAAUGCUAAACGUAAGACAUUUAAUGAAACGCUUUGAAGACAUAAUUUAACGAUUUAUGAAAAUUUGUUACAGAAAUAUGAAGUGUUCGAAUUAAGAGUUGAAAUCAAGACGUGACGUUUCUUUUAACUCAAACGACACUCA